UUUUUUGAGAGUUUGAUCCUAGCUCAGGAUGAACGCUGGCGGCGUGGAUAAGGCAUGCAAGUCAAACGGAUCCAGCACUUUGCUUUUGAAUAUUCGAAGGCAGGGUGCUGGAUCAGUGGCAAACGAGGUAGUAACACGUUGGUACGUACCCCAGAGACGGGCAUAACUCGCCGAAAGGCGAGCUAAUUCCCGAUAGUCUCUACGGAGUAAAGACGCAAGUCACUCUGGGAACGGCCUGCGGGCUAUCAGCUAGUUGGUAGGGUAACGGCCUACCAAGGCGAUGACGGCUAGGGGAG
rnacentral:rRNA from 1 species